rnacentral:rRNA from 1 species
GUGGUGCAUGGUUGUCGUCAGCUCGUGUCGUGAGAUGUUGGGUUAAGUCCCGCAACGAGCGCAACCCUUACUAUUAGUUGCUACGCAAGAGCACUCUAAUAGGACUGCCGUUGAUAAAACGGAGGAAGGUGGGGAUGACGUCAAAUCAUCAUGCCCUUUAUGACCUGGGCUACACACGUACUACAAUGGCGUUUAACAAAGAGAAGCGAAACCGCGAGGUUGAGCAAAUCCCCAAAAAACGUCUCAGUUCAGAUUGCAGGCUGCAACUCGCCUGCAUGAAGUCGGAAUUGCUAGUAAUCGUAGGUCAGCAUACUACGGUGAAUACGUUCCCGGG